UAGAUUUGGGCCAUUUUAUUUUACAAAGUGUAUUUUAAAGAGUACUAUCUCAGUCACAAAAAACUCUUCUGGAGACAAAAAACAUUCUUCCAUGAAUAAUGUAUUGAAGUAAACACAAAUAAUCUGUCUGGGAUGGAGAUAUACACGAGGCUGCGAAUGUGCCCAUGUUUAUAGUCCGUGGAUGGAAGUAAUGUGUGUUCUGAAUUUCUGUGAUUUUUGCAAGGCAACGGCAUUCAAGCUUCGUUCUCCCUUUAAAUUGGAGAGUUAGUUUUGCUCUCUUUAGGAUACAAAGACUGGAGGGCAUAUCUUGUGUUUACGAGGCAGGGGCCGGGGAAUACAAGAAAGGCCAAACCAUGUCGCCGUGAACUCAGUCGGUUAUUAACUUGCCCUCCUGGGUGCUCUGAAAGUUCGCCAGCAAAUUCUUCAGGUACAACAAAAUGCAUUAGAAGCAGGCACCUAGGAAUCGCUCCAAGGCUACUGAGAUACUACUAGGUGGCCGGUCAUCUUGACUGCGCUGUCAGAAUAUCACAGAGAUGUUGUAUGUUUUCCGGGCUGUCUGGCCAUGUUCCAGAAGCAUUCUCUCCUGACGUUUCACCCACAUCUAUGGCAGGCAUCCUCAGAGGUGUUGGUGAAGAUUGGAUUAGUCUUUUGAUUUAUGUUGACAUCUGUGUUGUAACAAAAGGUUUGGAUAGAGUUGUAAAAGUACAAAAAGAACUGGAAAGAAAAUUUAAAGUAAAAGACCUAGAUCAGGGGUCCCCAAACUACGGCCCAGGGGCCACAUGCGCCCCAUUGAAGCCAUUUAUCCGGCCCCCAUGGCACAAAGGCUGAAGGGGGUUGGGCUAAAUGCCCCAAGGAGUCUCUUCCAACCUUAUUAUUAUUAUUAUUAUUAUUAUUAUUAUUAUUAUUAUUAUAAAUCACAUUUUAUUGAUUAGCCCAUUGGCCGUAUCAAAACAUUUAACACAUAGACAUACAUACAACAUACAACCCGCGGUACAAAAGAAGUUAAAAUAAACAAGCUGUUAACAAGAUCCCGUUCAUGUCAAAUAUCUGCAUCACCUCCACAGUUUACCCCAAUUGAUUCCAAAUACGCAAUUCUCAGCUGUGUUGCUUUGAAUAGGAAAAGGGCUGUUUUGUGUGUUAUUUUAGGAUUCUGGCUGGCCAACAAAAAUGAAGUUUUAAUAUGUGGGUCCCAGUGUGUUUUGUGAAUAAUGUAUGGCCCAAGGCAUUGGUCUCUCUCUUUCUUAUACAAUUCACAGCUGGACAGUACAUGUGCAAUAUCCUCCACCUCUGAUGCUCAACAAAUACAAAAUCUAAUAAUAAUAAUAAUAAUAAUAAUAAUAAUAAUAAUUAUUAUUAACAUUGAGGCUGGGAGGCCAUCUGUCACGGGUGCUUUGCUUGUGCUUUUGGUCCACAAAGUGUCAUGAUCUCCAAUCCUUGACAUCUCUGGUCAGCUGACAAGGAACAGAUGCCAGCCAUAAAACGGGCCAGCCAUAAAACCUCAAUAACCCUCUGGUAUGUGAGAUCCCCUAUAUAUGUGGGCCAAAGAGAAGGUUCUGGCAUUCGGUACAAUAAAAUCUGUUGGAAUCUACCAGCGUGUCUAGGUGCUUUUUCCUUUGGAAGACUGACCCACAGCACAACUGGAAGAAGAGAACCCGACAAUUUGUACCGAAUGCCAGAACCUUCUCUUUGGCCCACAUAUAUAGGGGCUCUCACAUACCAGAGGGUCAUUGAGGUUUUAUAGUUGGCCCGCUUUAUGGCUGGCAUCUGUUCCUUGUCAGCCGACCAGAGAUGUCAAGGAUUGGAGAUCAUGACACAAAGGGAGAAAGGGGUUGGUAUUAUUAUUAUUAUUAUUAUUAUUAUUAUUAUUAUUAUUAUUGCUCAGUGGUCACCUGGCCAACUAUAGUCCGGCCCUCCAAUGGUCUGAGGAUUGUGAACUGGCCCCCAGUUUUAAAAGUUUGGGGACCCCUGACUUAGAUAAUCUAAAAAAUUAUUUGGGCCUGGAAGUGGAUAGGCCAGACAAUGGCAAAAUAAUGCUAAGUCAGAAAGCAAAGAUAGAACAAUUGAUUGAAAAAUGUGGCCUUACUGACGCUAAAACUGUGUCUACGCCCAUGAUAAAAUUAUGAUGGCUAUGUUAAAACACUGGGCUACCAUUAGUCGUAAUGAGGACUCUUGUGAUCAUUCUAAGAUUGGUCCAAGUAAAAAUGUGAGCAGACUCUUCUCAAUAACGUUCAGAUGAAUAUUGGGCUUCUCUUUAAGAUUCAACACAAUACUGGAGUAAAUAAGAUAUUGUGAGCCAGAUCCAUUCUUAUUUGGAGAAACUUCCAUUGCACUAUGUAAACUUGGCUAUAUGUGAAGUGAGUCAUCAGGAGCAUUCUGGUUUUGCAGACUCCCUCUGGUUGCACCUGCUCAUUGGUUUGCGGCCAGGAUACACGCAGGAUGAUCUGGGCAUGGGUUUUGUCGAUGGUGCAAUGCUCUAGGAUGCGACAAUUAACUAUCCAUUAAAUGACCCUCUCCACCUCAACCGGCUUUGUUGUUGUUGUUUGAAAGUUCGUAAUUCGUAACAAGAUCAAGCCAAACAUUGGGAGAGCUGGCUUUGUUUUGCUAUCCAUUAAUUCUGUCAUUCCCUGUGUAGCUCAAUGAAUUUCCUUGGCCUGGUACGGCAUUGCUGGGACUCAUCAAAACAAAUUAACGUUAACAACACCUGAGUGAUAUAACUGACUGUGACAUAUCAAAACAACGAUGUUUGGAGCCAAAGGAUGGAAACAGACUCCCUAUUUCAGUACUGUUAGGAGACAGAUAAAGAUAGAACUUGUCUCCGAACUUUGAAAGAACCAUGGUUUUCCAAAAAAUAAAAUAAAUAACUAUUUAUGGAUAAUAAUAAUAAUAAUAAUAAUAAUAAUAAUAAUAAUAAUAAUAAUAAUAACUUUAUUUUUAUACUCCGCUAUCAUCUCCCCAAAGGGACUCGGGGCAGCUUACAUGGAGCCAAGCCUGAACAUAACAGACAUAGUAAAAUACAUCAAGUAAAAACAUAUCAAUAACAAAUCAGUAAAACAUGGAUUUAAUAAAAACAUGAAGUAGUAGUAGUAGUAGUAGUAGUAGUAAUGGUCCCUGUCUCUAAGGACAUGGACCCAAAGAGACUUACAAGCUUUAAAAACUAUAUACUGUAUUAAUCUAAAUUAAUCUAAAAAUGUACAUAGAGGAAGCUAAUAGACUGAAGGCAAGGAGGAAAUAGAUAUAAAUUUGGAACUUAUAAUAUUUUUAUAUGUACCAUACAAAUAGAAGCCUGUGACCCCUUAUUGAAAAUAUAUUGUCUGAGACUAAUGAGACUAAUGAAAGACUAAUAGAUGAAAGUAUUACACUGUAUGCAACGAACACUUGCAAUGUAUGUAUAUUUGAAUGAAUGAAAAUAAAUAAACAUUAUAUAUAUAUAUAACUAUAUACUGUAUAUACUCGAGUAUAAGCCUAGUUUUUCAGCCCUUUUUUUAAGACUGAAAAAGCCUCCCUCAGCUUAUACUCCUGAUUGGCUUAUAUUUGGUCAGCCC
rnacentral:lncRNA from 1 species